UUGGAGUCUGCAACUCGACUCAUGAAGUCGGAAUCGCUAGUAAUCGUAGAUCAGAAUGCUACGGUGAAUACGUUCCCGGGCCUUGUACACACCGCCCGUCACACCAUGGGAGUGGGUUGCAAAAGAAGUAGGUAGCUUAACCUUCGGGAGGGCGCUUACCACUUUGUGAUUCAUGACUGGGGUGAAGUCGUAACAAGGUAACCGUAGGGGAACCUGCGGUUGGAUCACCUCCUUA
rnacentral:ncRNA from 1 species